rnacentral:rRNA from 1 species
UACGUAGGGGGCAAGCGUUGUCCGGAAUCAUUGGGCGUAAAGCGCGUGUAGGCGGCCCGAUAAGUCCGCUGUGAAAGUCCAGGGCUCAACCCUGGGAUGCCGGUGGAUACUGUCUGGCUUGAGGCCGGGAGAGGGUAGCGGAAUUCCCAGUGUAGCGGUGAAAUGCGUAGAUAUUGGGAGGAACACCAGUGGCGAAGGCGGCUACCUGGACCGGUUCUGACGCUGAGGCGCGAAAGCGUGGGUAGCAAACAGG